rnacentral:rRNA from 1 species
CUUGGUCAUUUAGAGGAAGUAAAAGUCGUAACAAGGUUUCCGUAGGUGAACCUGCGGAAGGAUCAUUAUUGAAUAAAAACUUGAACAGGCUGUUGCUGGCUUCUUGCAUGUGCACGCUUGUCAUUUUUUUCAUUUCUCCUCUGUGCACCAACUGUAGGUCUGGAUCAAGGUGCUCUCUGCCUUGCAAUCUCCAGGUCUAUGUUUUUCUUUACAACCUCUCAAUGUGUUUGGAAUGUCAAAUUGUGAAUAUAUAUGUAUAUAUACAACUUUCAGCAACGGAUCUCUUGGCUCUCGCAUCGAUGAAGAACGCAGCGAAAUGCGAUAAGUAAUGUGAAUUGCAGAAUUCAGUGAAUCAUCGAAUCUUUGAACGCAUCUUGCGCUCCUUGGUAUUCCGAGGAGCAUGCCUGUUUGAGUGUCAUCAAGUUCUCAAUCUGUAUUGAUUUGCUUCAAUGUGGAUUGGAUAGCUGGGGUUUGCAGGUUUUUUUUAAAAAGGUCUGCUUUCCUGAAAUAAAUUAGUGGCAUCUGAGCAAAAGGGGACCACUACAGGUGUAUCUAUGCCUCUUGUAAAAGCCCUGUGCCCAAAGCUGCUUCAAAUCUCAUUUUUGUUGACCAAUUUGACCUCAAAUCAGAUAGGACUACCCGCUGAACUUAAGCAUAUCAAUAAGCGGAGGAA